rnacentral:sRNA from 1 species
UGACAUUGGGAGCUAAAUAUCUGACUCUCGUAUGCUUUAAAUACAUUUUAAUUCUUUAGGUGAGUAUGCCUUGGCAGCAGAAUUGUACAGAGAAGUGUUGCGCUCCUCGGAGGAACACAAAGGAAAACUCAAAACUGAUUCACUUCAAAGACUUCAUGCUACCCAUAACUUGAUGGAAUUGUUGAUAGCCAGGCACCCAGGGAUACCACCUACCUUGCGUGAUGGCCGACUUGAGGAAGAGGCCAAACAGCUGCGAGAGCACUAUAUGAGCAAAUGUAAUACAGAAGUUGCUGAAGCCCAGCAAGCUUUAUAUCCUGUGCAGCAGACCAUCCAUGAGCUUCAAAGAAAGAUUCAUUCUAAUUCUCCUUGGUGGCUAAAUGUGAUCCACAGAGCAAUAGAAUUUACUAUUGAUGAGGAGCUAGUUCAGCGAGUGCGAAAUGAAAUAACCAGCAACUACAAGCAACAAACUGGCAAGCUUUCUAUGUCAGAGAAGUUCCGUGAUUGCAGAGGUCUUCAGUUCUUACUUACAACACAAAUGGAAGAGCUAAAUAAAUGCCAGAAGCUAGUAAGAGAGGCUGUAAAAAACCUGGAAGGACCUCCAUCUCGUAACGUUAUUGAGUCUGCAACAGUCUGCCACCUCCGACCAGCCAGACUUCCUCUGAACUGCUGUGUCUUUUGUAAAGCUGAUGAAUUGUUCACAGAGUAUGAAUCAAAGCUAUUUUCCAACACAGUCAAAGGCCAGACUGCAAUAUUUGAGGAGAUGAUAGAAGAUGAAGAAGGACUGGUGGAUGAUCGAGCACCUACCACCACCCGGGGUCUCUGGGCAAUAAGUGAGACAGAGCGAUCUCUGAAAGCAAUACUAUCAUUUGCAAAAUCACAUAGGUUUGAUGUUGAAUUUGUUGAUGAAGGAAGCACUUCAAUGGAUCUCUUUGAAGCAUGGAAGAAGGAAUAUAAGUUGCUUCAUGAAUAUUGGAUGGCUCUGAGGAAUCGUGUGUCUGCUGUUGAUGAACUUGCAAUGGCUACAGAACGACUAAGAGUGCGUGAUCCUAGGGAGCCAAAGCCUAAUCCGCCUGUUCUUCAUAUCAUUGAACCACAUGAGGUAAUUGGCAAGUAAAUCACAGAAAAGGGAACAGCAAGCAGAUGUCACAGAUAUCUAAGACCCAUAGAAAAGGCAGAAUCAGGGCACUGAGCUCUACUGUAAGUGUGUAUUUAAUCUCCAUUUUUAAUUUGACCCAUAGAAAAUUGUCUUUGUAGAUCAAAAAUGGUCGAAGAUGAGCAAUUUCAUAUCUAUUACGUGCUUAGUGUUCACUAUUUUGGUGCAUCUUGUUUCUCUCCAGGUUGCACAUUCGUCUGUUUUUGAGUUUAAAACCUUGUAUGUGCUUAAGACCAAUAGAUAUUCUGACUUUUUAGACAUUUUUGUGACCUCAGUUUUAUCAGAACUAGAAAAAUCUUCCUUAAAAACUACUGAAACCUUUUCUUUUGCAGUGUUUCUUUUGCUAAUGAUGAACUAAUAUUAACAACUUACCUUCUAAUGAAUUUAUCUUUGUAACUCGGGUUUAAAAACAUUACUCCACCAAUCUCUUUUAUUCUCCAUUAAAAGAUAUUAUUUCCUUUAUAAUUCAUUUUUAUUCCUUAUCUGUUUAGUGCCUUAAGUCUGUUUCUGUACAGCUUGGAGACUAUAACUUGGAAAAAUUUAGAUAUAUUCAUUAUAUACUAUCUCACUUAAAUGUGAAUUCUGAAGAAGUUUUUCUGAGAAAAUAAAUUCCUGUUGUUAGAGUGUUCCUUCUCUGUCUGCUGUAUUCUACCAGGGGUACAGAGGAAAGAAGGGCAGAGAAAUUCUUUCCUGGAUUUCAUGAAAUCACUGAGGCCAGAACAACAAAUCAUUUAACUUUUCUUUAUCCCGUGUAUGUAUUACUGAAAAAAAUGAUACAUAAUAGAAUUUGAGUUUAUUUUUAUCUGACUUCAGGUACAUAGGGACACUUCCUAUUUAAAAGAACUCUGCAUUGAAUUGUGCCUUUCAUAAAGA